rnacentral:other from 1 species
UUCGUUCUGCUUGGUUCGUGCUGCUCUAUGUUAAAAACCUACAUUUACGAAUUGGAGCAUGCCUUCCGUGUUCGGGAACGCAGGCCUCCCGCCGCAAGCUGCUUUGUCACCUUGCCGUGCGGACGUUGGAAGCGCAAAGACGCGGAGAGUGCACCGACCUGCCGAAGCAGGGUUUUCGUUCGUAGAGCCACGGCCAAAGCGGGCGACA